GACAGAGGGGGCAAGCGUUGCUCGGAAUUACUGGGCGUAAAGGGCGCGUAGGCGGUGUGUCAAGUCAGGCGUGAAAGCCCCGGGCUCAACCUGGGAACAGCGCUUGAGACUGGCACGCUCGAGUUCGGGAGAGGAUGGUGGAAUUCCCAGUGUAGAGGUGAAAUUCGUAGAUAUUGGGAAGAACACCGAUGGCGAAGGCAGCCAUCUGGACCGACACUGACGCUGAGGCGCGAAAGCGUGGGGAGCAAACAGG
rnacentral:rRNA from 1 species